UUAAACGGGAAGCAGGGAGCGAUGCCCGCGCGGCAUGCCAACCUGCGCUGCCCCCGCAACGGUAAGCGACCGCGUCGAUCGCGCUGGCGAUCCUGGCGCAAGCCGCCCCUCGAUGGCGGCCCUCACACGAGCGAGGGCCGCCGUGGCCACUGCGCGCCUGGUUCGCGCGGGAAGGCGGGGGUGGGCUGGUCGCCAGCCCGGAUACCG
rnacentral:misc_RNA from 1 species